UUCCUGGUGCCUAUGGCGGUGUGGACCUACGCUCAUCCAUCCCGAACUGAGUGGUGAAACGCACCCGCGGCGAAGAUAGUUGGAGGGCUGCCUCCCGCAAAAAUAGCUCGGUGCCAGGU
rnacentral:rRNA from 1 species